rnacentral:rRNA from 1 species
GAAACGGCCAGGGUUCGGGCCUACUCUUUUACACCUCCCCUGACGUCAAUCGAGGAGACAUAGGAAACGUAAUCUUGACAGUACCAGAGAAUUAUAAAAUGUAACUCAUCGUCACUUACUUCGCUCAUCUUCAACGUGUCUAACAGGUCAGCUUAUGGCUUAGCAGUGUGUUACACCACCGUUCGAAACCUUACGUAGGAAACGAUACUUCUUAGACCCGUUCACAUUAAAACAUCAGUCAGUCUGAGGAGGUCCUUGAACGACUAAGGAUCGACAUGUUCCAGUCACGAAAUGAAUGCAAGGGUCUCCCUUCACUCACAUAUCCUUCGAAACUUACUUUCCGCCGGAGUACAUGGUGUUAAGAGAUCUUGUCUACAUGAUCAAGUUAACAACACCCAUUGACGAAGGAAUCUUUUACGACACUAUAACAUCCAUUACCUUCGGCCUGGACGUCAUACGUUCGUUUACCCCUACCAAGUGCUCAAGGGACUAUUAAAGUCAAAGUCAUUUGACCGUCCAUACCAAACGUACUGACUAGGAAUAUGACGUGAACCUACCCGCACCAAUAGUAUCGUCACUAAGUCCUCGACCCUUUAUGCAUGUAAUAAUGAUCAACUCAAUUACUACACAUGAUUCCAAUCAUCUCCUUAACACUAUUAGACAUCUUCAUUCAAGUCCCACACAACCCUUAACCUUGAUGUCAUGACCAACAGGAACUCGUCUCUACGUCCAUACCACCAAGUAAAAGUCUCACCUUUAAGUUCAGGCUGCUUUGACUUCUUCGAAGUUGGUGACGUUAGGAGUUGCCCGCUGCCGAUAGGAUGCCAGUCCACUUUCUGGAGAUCUCUGUUUCGACGGGGGAAGUAAUGGAGCACACAUGACCAAGUAUGGGAACAAGUAAAAUCAAUCUGUGUGGUUGUCAGUUCGAAACGCGGGAUCUACAACGACGUCAAAGUCCGAAAGUCGACAUAUGUUUAAAGGCUGGUGUCUCAGACAGAGCAGAACAUUAAAGUAGCGCGACCUUAGAAUUUAGAACAGUCGUGUCUACACAGAAAAGACGAUUAUACAACAACUUAGUAACCGCUCAUCUUGCAGGUG